AUUGGGCAUAUUUGAUCAAAUCAAUUGAAGACAGGAAACUCCCUGUCCCACAUGCAAAAGACUGCUUGUUCGAGCUGUCUUUGCAAACAAAGUUUCAUGAGUGGCUGUUAGAAAGAGUUAUUGGAGGGUGUAAAACCUCAGAGUGGGACGAGCAAGGUCAAGGAGUUAUCCAUUUGUGUGCUAUCCUAGGUUAUACUUGGGCUGUAUAUCCAUUUUCCUGGUCAGGCUUAUCAUUGGAUUACCGGGACAAGUAUGGUUGGACAGCUCUUCACUGUGGCUGUUAGAAAGAGUUAUUGGAGGGUGCAAAGCCUCAGAGUGGGACGAGCAAGGUCAAGGAGUUAUCCAUUUGUGUGCUAUCCUAGGUUAUACUUGGGCUGUAUAUCCAUUUU
rnacentral:lncRNA from 1 species